ensembl:lncRNA
AUGCUUUGUGUUGGCUCUUCAUUCACUGUAGGUGUUGCGGAGGUGGAACGCGACACUGCACUCACUCAUGGUAUGGCCGCCAGCCCAGCGCCUCUGCACAAGAUGGCCGCCAGCCCAGCGCCUCUGCACAAGAUGGCCACCAAUGCGGCGUUGCUGCACGAAAUGGCAGCCACCGUUGAGCUGCAAGGUCAAGUCACUACAGAGCUUCAUCAUACCACAACUGAUCUGCCUGAGCCUCGUCACGUCUCAGCUGAUCAUCCAGUGCCUUGCCUCAUCCUGUCUGUUGCACCCAGAUAUUUAAGGUCACCGUAGCCACCAGAUCCAGUCUGUAUCCAGAUCACAUGGUGGAUCAGCACCUAGACAAACUCUUGACAGCCCUGGAUGUCAGCGGAGACCAGGACAACUAUGAGCCCCAGAGACAGAUCCUCUUCACCAAGACAGCCAUCGGGACAAGACCACAGGAACCAGACCAGUCCUCUGCACAAUCUGAUCUGUGUUGAAGCCUGCAAUUAAACUGCUGGGUUCGUCUGUUCAGAGAAGAACGAUGGAGUUUUGGUUCCUUCGACACACAAUUUUUCUGUUUAAUACUGUAAAGCUGUAGUGUAAAUACAGUGACUGGACUUGACUCCAGUUGAAAUGUAACACCUGGUUCAUUUAUUUUUUUCUGCCUUCUGCCUCAUUUUAAAGAUGUAAUUGUGAACAGUAUUAAUAUUUUUUUAAAUAUUUGUUUGCAAACAUUUUUUUAAAGUGUAUUAGUCUUUUUUUAAGUUAAUUAAACAAAUGUUUAAAAUAAAAUUUUUCAGUUGUAUUGCAAAUGUAAUGUUUGACAACUGGAGCACUUUUUAAAGGCUAGUUGACCAGAAAAUUGAAAGUUGCUGUUAUUUUAUUGAUCCUCAGGCCAUCCCAGAUGUCAGUGACUUUUUUUCUUCAGUAGAACAGUAAAGAUUUUUAUCUGAAACAGUGAUCCUUGGUGAUUCAUACAGUGCAUGUCUGUGGCUGCCGGUUUUUGAUGGUUUAGCUUCAUAAGGCCUCACUGUGUCCUCAGAAGUCUUUGGUAAUUUGGUCUUGUCUGUAUAUGUUUGUUUGACUCUCAAAAGCCGGCAGCCGGAGACGUGCAGUUAAUGAAUUGCAAUGUUUUCAAAGACAAUGUUUUCACCUAAAAAUUUCCUUUACUGUUCAAUUGAAGAAAAAUGUUAACUACGUCUUGGAUGGCUUGAGGCUGAGUCAAUUAACAGCAAUUUUUAAUUUUGGGGUGAACUAUCCCUUUAAGCCUGCAUGUUUAGUCUGUAUAACAAACAUUAUAAAUGCAGAUUGUUAUUAAAUAAAGGCUAUUAUGUGUUGUAAUGUGUGUGUUUUAUUGAUUGAUAGACACCAGGUUAUAAUUUUCUCAAACUCAAUAUAAAAUAUAAUAACUAGUUCCACAGCAAUUUCUUAUGAUGCCCAAAUAAUAAAUCUUAGUCGAGGUAACAUAUGAAACACAUGGAGUCAAUGGUUAAAUUUUAAUUGACACAAUUUGCUGUAGUUUUCUAAAUGUUUGACCAAUUAAAUAAUUUUGGUUUAAUGGACUAUAAAACUAUUACAGUAAAGGAUGAGACAACUAAAAAAAUAACAAUUCAGAUUGACUUAACAUAAAAUUUUCUUAGUUUUUUCUAUUUAUCAAAGAAUACAGGAAAAAAGGUAUCACAGGUUCCUAAAAAAUACUAAGCAGCACAACAGUUACCAGCACUGAUAAAUCAGCAUAUUAGAAUAAUUUCCGAAGGAUGCGUGACACUGAAAAGUGGAGUAAUGAUGCUGAAAAUUCAGCUUUUCACCACAUGAAUAAAUUUGAUUUUCAUUUAUUAAAAUGUAUAUUAAAAUAGAAAAUUUUUAUUUUACAUCAUAAUAAUAUUUCACAAUAUAAUUUUUUUCCCCUAGAUUUUGAUCAAAUAAAUGCAGCCUUGAUGAGCAUAAGAAACUCCUUUAAAAAACAUAAAAAAUCAUUCUGAUCCCAGACAUUUGAAUGACAGUUUAUGUGUAUUUGUUUUGUUUUGUUGCACAUAUGAUUUAUUCUGAAGCAAUAUUCUCAUCAGUUUUCUAUCAGCUGUGACAUAUAAAUCUGUGUGUUUUUUAUAUUUUAUCUAAGGGCAUUUUUUUUUACCUUUAUAGAGGUCAUUUCCCACCAAUCUCAUUAAUACUUUCAUUUCAAAUUCUUACAUUUGAUCUAUAAAUUCAAUUACAAUAAUGUGACUAUGUUAGCAAAUUAAAUCAUUUACACUGAAAAAUACAACUGCAUUAAAUAAUAUGAAAUUAUUUUAAAUAUUUUUGAAUAUACAAACAAGAAAUUAAAACGCCAAUAGGUGCCAGUAGUGAGUGUUUAAUGAGUGAGUCAUUAAGCCCUUUCACAAAUACAGACUUUUCCGGAAAAUUACUGGUAAAUUGCUGUAAAGAGAUCAUGUGUGAACAGGAUCUUUUAAAAAAUACCGGUAAAUUUUUUCCGCCAAUUUACUGGUAUGAGAAGUUGUUUCAUUACCAGUAAAUUGCCAUAAUUCUGCUGUGUGUGAACCAAGCGGCAACCUCCUGCUCUCUCUGCUGAGGCCAACAAGAAAGUGACUUAAACUGUAAUUCGUGGCUGCAAAAGGGAGUCAAUCCAAUAGACUCCCCAUGUUAAAAUGCCCAACUUUACAGCAGGAAAAAACAUGUUUACAGCCUGGUUCAAAAAAUUAUUUUGGUCUAUAUAGCUAAUUUUGCCCUUCAUGACAACUGUGAGGUGGGUGAAUUUUUUUAUAACUCAUCCUUUUAAAUUAUAUUAAGCCUUAAAGUUCUGCAUAAUUAAGGGCGUGGUCACUUGAGUGACAGGUGGAUUGCCGCUGCUGUCACCACCGUCACGCUAGUUUAAAAAACAAAACAGCAUGUCCCAAUAUAAUAAUACCCUACUAAAGCAUGCAGCAAUAUCAGCUUAUAUAACUAGUAGCUAAUGUUAGCAUCUUACCUGCUGCACUGUCUGCUGCUUUCUCGUCGUCAGACCGAUAGCACUCCUUUCACUGGUGACUUUGUGUUUGAGGCCACAAAUGUUACAAAGCUGUCAUUAAGUUGAAGUUAUCACACAGUCCUCGCUCAAGCUGCUCACUCGCUCCGUUUGGUUUAAUUACAGUGUGCUCCUUAGCACUGGGAGCUCCCUCUGCUGUCCAUAAGGUGCCUCUACUCACCAGCCAUUUCAAACCCAGCCUCCAGUAUUUGGGCCACGCCUCCUAAUUUGCAUACACUCCUCAAUCCUCAAUCCUCAAAUGCCCAAUCCUCAAUCUUCAAAUGCCCAAUCCUAAAUCCCCAAAUGCCCAAUCCCCAAUCCUCAAUCUUAAAUGGCUAAAUGAUUAAAUGCCCAAUCCUAAAUGACCAAAUGCCCAACCCUAAAAAGAAAAUGCCCAAUUCUAAAUACAAAAUGCCCAAUCCUAAAUACCAAAUGCCCAAUCCUAAAUACCAAAUUAAUUUUCGGCUUGGACUUUAAGUUUCAAAUUUAUAUUUUUAGUUUUGGUUUAAGACUUUUAGUUUUAGACUUUUAGUUUAUAAUCUGACCCAAUCAUCCCCCCAUAAAUGUCAGAAGGACUAGCAUUACAAUAACAGAUGUAAAGUAAUGCAUUACAGUAACAGAUUACUUUUUGCUGUAACGCAGUAGGCCGGGUUCACACCGCAAGCUGCAGCAGAGCGGAAGCAGCGCAUUAGCAGCAGGUAGGCAGAGCGGAAGCAGAGCGGAAGCAGCGCGCGGCUAUUUUGCUUUCACACCGGCAGCGGAGGCAGCGCGCAACUGAACAGCAGAUUUUGGACAGAGUACUGUCAAUUUGUUCCAAUUGAAUCAAUUUUGUUUUUUCUUGAAAAGAACAAUAAUUCUACAAUUUCACACAUUGGUUUUAUGUAGCCAACACAUGUUUUCUGCUGAACAUUCCAAUGUAUUAGAGGAAAGUGGCAGGCUUUUGAGGUUGCGGUGAACCUA